GGGGCUGCGGCGGCCAUGGCGGCUUCGGAAGCGGGCGGCGGGCACGGCGGGCAGGGCGGCCCGGGCUCGGGCGGCUUCCCGGCGGCCCCGGCGGACUGCGGCCCGGGCUCGUGGGCGCUGUGGGCGCUGUCGGCCCCGCUGAGCCCCGCGCAGCUGCGGCGGCUGGAGGAGCACCGCUACUCGGCGGCCGGCACGUCGCUGCUCGAGCCGCUGCUGCAGCCCUUCUGGCGCUGGCUGGUGGAGCGCGUCCCGCUCUGGCUGGCGCCCAACGCCAUCACCCUGAGCGGGCUGCUGGUGAACGUGCUCAGCACGCUGCUGCUCAUCUUCUACUGCCCCACGGUCACGGAGGAGGCACCAUUAUGGAUGUUCCUAAUAUGUGGCCUGGGCCUCUUCAUCUACCAAUCACUGGAUGCCAUUGAUGGGAAGCAAGCCAGAAGAACAAAUAGCUGUUCUCCGUUAGGAGAACUUUUUGACCAUGGUUGUGAUUCUAUUUCCACAGUGUUUGUGGCUCUCGGAGCCUGCAUCACCAUUCGCUUGGGAUCAGACCCCGACUGGUUGUUUUUCUGCUGUUUUAUUGGGAUGUUCAUGUUUUAUUGUGCUCAUUGGCAAACCUACGUGUCGGGAGUGCUAAGAUUUGGAAAACUGGACGUAACCGAAGCGCAGCUGGCCAUAGUUGUCAUCUUUAUUUUAACCUCAUUUGGAGGAGCAUCAAUGUGGGAUUAUGUUAUCCCUGUGAUUGAAGUAAAACUGAAGCUUUUCCCCCUUCUUGGAAUAGUGGCAGGAGCAUUUUUUUCCUGUUCUAAUUAUUUCCACACCAUCCUCAGUGGCGGCGUUGGCAAGAAUGGAUCCACGAUAGCAGGCACCAGUGUUCUGUCACCUGGCAUCCAUAUAGGACUAAUUAUUCUUCUGGCCAUAAUGAUCUGCAAAAAAUCUGCAACACAGCUCUUUGAAAAACAUCCCUGUCUUUAUAUUAUGAUGUUUGGGUGUGUGUAUGCCAAAAUCACACAAAAAUUGGUGGUUGCUCACAUGACCAAAAGUAAACUAAGUCUACAGGACCCUGCAUUUAUUGGGCCAGGUCUUCUGUUUUUGGACCAGUACUUCAACAAUUUUAUAGACGAAUACAUUGUUCUGUGGGUAGCAAUGUUGACACUCAAAAUCCUUCAAGGAGCUGGUGCAAGCCCUUCUUCUCUCUCAAAGACGACAAGUGCCUGUCUCCCAACCUGACCCUCUGCCACAGUGAGGCACCAAAAUGACCAAAGGGCACCUUGUUACAUGAACGGUCCAAGUUCAUUCUUCAAAGAGCCAUCAGAAUAACAUGGACUGAAGAGAUUUUCGAACACUUGCCAUUUCUUGCUGCUGCUGUUACAAGAAAGGAGAUAUUAAAGAAAUGUUAAUAAGUGACCUUAAUAUACUAUUUUAUUUGGUGAAAAAUAUGUAAUGAUUUAAUCUUAAUUUUUUCAGUUAAAAAUAUACCAUAUUAUUAUUAUUA